GCCGCAAGCCCUCCCUAGAGAGGGCGAGGGAGAGAAGGAUGCUGUGCCUGGAAAGCGGCUCUUGAGCAGAGCUGGAAUCUCCGCAAAGCGUCCACACCUCUUGUAUUCCCACCAGCCCCGGGGAGGAGACAAAGGACGUAGGAGGGCAGCAGCAUGCAGGGGCCUGCCUUUGACGCUCAGGAGUUGAACACCAGACAGAAAAUGAAAUCUAAACAUUUACCCAGAGCCCUGGGCUAGAAAUGUGCCAACCUGACCCUGGAAAACAAAUAACCCGCGUCACCGCCACACCUGCUGCAGGCCCCAGAUGCCACAGAUGAGGUUUUGCGCUGUUGCCCAGGCUGAUCUCAAACUCCUGGACAAGCAAUCUGCCUGCCCUGGCCUCCCAAAAGUCCUAAGAUUUCAGGUGUGACUCACUGCGCCCAGCCUCAGGUUGCCUUAAAGAAAAGUUUCUGUAUAUUAAAUAUAAACUAUAUGAUGCAUAA
rnacentral:lncRNA from 1 species